rnacentral:rRNA from 1 species
AGUGAACGCUGGCGAUAGGCCUAACACAUGCAAGUCGAACGGCAGCACAGUAAGAGCUUGCUCUUACGGGUGGCGAGUGGCGGACGGGUGAGGAAUACAUCGGAAUCUACUUUUUCGUGGGGGAUAACGUAGGGAAACUUACGCUAAUACCGCAUACGACCUACGGGUGAAAGCAGGGGAUCUUCGGACCUUGCGCGAUUGAAUGAGCCGAUGUCGGAUUAGCUAGUUGGCGGGGUAAAGGCCCACCAAGGCGACGAUCCGUAGCUGGUCCGAGAGGAUGAUCAGCCACACUGGAACUGAGACACGGUCCAGACUCCUACGGGAGGCAGCAGUGGGGAAUAUUGGACAAUGGGCGCAAGCCUGAUCCAGCCAUACCGCGUGGGUGAAGAAGGCCUUCGGGUUGUAAAGCCCUUUUGCUGGGAAAGAAAAGCAGCAGGUUAAUACCCCGCUGUUCUGACGGUACCCAAAGAAUAAGCACCGGCUAACUUCGUG